GGCCCAAAAUGCAUACUUCAAAUUAAAUGGGCUAGACAUUAUAAAACGAGAAAUGGUCCGGUUUGGCCCAAUCGGACUAAGAAAAUUGCGACACCGUUUCAAAAAUUAAAUGAAACGGCGACGAGUUCAGUUCUGUUGUCGGCAAUUUCUCAUCGGAGCGUACCGGUAUUCUACUCUUCUCCACUUUCCAUGUUCCUCAUUGGAUUUUUGGUGGCAGAGGCUAUGCUUGGCAGCGGUCGUGACGGCGGAGAUGAACAAGGAAUGGAAGCGAAGAGAACUGAGCAUUUUGGUGCUCUAUGCCUUUGCUUUCUACACUUUCAUCAUCCGUCGAUCCCUUCAACUCUCUCAUGGAUGUCUCUGAUGCCAAUGGAGAAACUUUCGCGGAAGCUUACCUAUUCUUACUGUUGUUUUUGGAAUUUUCUGUGUAUUGGCCAAUUUCUUAACGGCUUUGUUGGGUUUUAAAAGCAAAGGGAACGCCCAUUGUUUGGCUUAUCAUUUCUUUAAUCUACUUAUUAUAUCUUCAUGGAGCACUUCAUUUAUACUCCCCAUUGCCUCGGUUAAUUUUCUUCUAGUAAAGAUUUGCAUAUCCACAGAUUUUGGUGCGAACCACAAACUUCUCAUUGGUACUUUGGGUUUUGAACAUAUUUUUUCUUGUAUGUAAUCGUGUUUAUGAAGGAUAUUCAUUCUCCACUUUUGGGCAAAGGUGGGCAUACUUGGACAAUUUUCAAGGCAGCUUUAGGUGGCACAUUUGCUUUAAUUUCGUUAUAUUGCGCAUGAUAAGCUUCGGAUAUGAUUACCAUUCAUCUUGAUACUCAUUUUGAUCAGAAGGAAACUAAGUGGUUGAUUCAGAUUAUUACAGUUGGACUCCCUUAAAAAACGCACCUGAAGCGUACUCGCUUAAGAUCCUUGACACCUCCUGGCAGGGAGGUAAGUGUUAUGUAUACUCCAGGCUCAUCUUGCUCAACCCAUUCAGCUUCAUGAUGUGAUUCACCAUCUUUCGUUCUGCUUCCAUUUCUAGCUGUUGCUUCCAAAUGGUCUUGUUUGUUGUAACCUGAAUUACGGAUGCUGGUGGCACUAGAGCCAUUAGACAGCACCUGGCUAUAUAAUCCAUUUGUGUCUGGUCCUUCAGAUGCCAUUUGACCAUUCAGACGAUCAAGAGAAACAUUAGGAACAUCAUUGGAAGGAGUCGAGGCAAGUGAAGUAAAGGAGGGUGAUUUCACGUUUCGCGCUGCUCCUACUGGUAGCCUUUCA
rnacentral:misc_RNA from 1 species